rnacentral:rRNA from 1 species
UACAGAGGUCUCAAGCGUAGUUCGGAUUCAUUGGGCGUAAAGGGUGCGUAGGUGGCGUCGUAAGUCGGGUGUGAAAUUUCGGAGCUUAACUCCGAAACUGCAUUCGAUACUGCGGUGCUUGAGGACUGGAGAGGAGACUGGAAUUUACGGUGUAGCAGUGAAAUGCGUAGAGAUCGUAAGGAAGACCAGUGGCGAAGGCGGGUCUCUGGACAGUUCCUGACACUGAGGCACGAAGGCCAGGGGAGCAAACGGG